rnacentral:rRNA from 1 species
UACGAGAGCCUCAAGCAUUAUCCGGAAUUACUGGGCGUAAAGAGAGCGUAGGCGGCGUGAUUAGUCUCUUGUUAAAUCUCCGAGCUCAACUCGGAAACCACAAGGGAAACGGUCAUGCUUGAGGAAGGAAGAGGUGCAUAGAACUCAUCAUGUAGGGGUGAAAUCCGUUGAUAUGAUGGGGAAUACCAAAUGCGAAGGCAGUGCACUGGUCCUUUCCUGACGCUGAGGCUCGAAAGCGUGGGUAGCGAAUGGG